GAUGAACGCUGGCGGCGUGCCUAAUACAUGCAAGUCGAGCGAACGGACGAGAAGCUUGCUUCUCUGAUGUUAGCGGCGGACGGGUGAGUAACACGUGGAUAACCUACCUAUAAGACUGGGAUAACUUCGGGAAACCGGAGCUAAUACCGGAUAAUAUUUUGAACCGCAUGGUUCAAAAGUGAAAGACGGUUUUGCUGUCACUUAUAGAUGGAUCCGCGCUGCAUUAGCUAGUUGGUAAGGUAACGGCUUACCAAGGCAACGAUGCAUAGCCGACCUGAGAGGGUGAUCGGCCACACUGGAACUGAGACACGGUCCAGACUCCUACGGGAGGCAGCAGUAGGGAAUCUUCCGCAAUGGGCGAAAGCCUGACGGAGCAACGCCGCGUGAGUGAUGAAGGUCUUCGGAUCGUAAAACUCUGUUAUUAGGGAAGAACAAAUGUGUAAGUAACUGUGCACAUCUUGACGGUACCUAAUCAGAAAGCCACGGCUAACUACGUG
rnacentral:rRNA from 1 species